CGCCUUAUUGCUGCCAUGUCGGUCUUUACGUUUUGAGCGAAGUUCUGCCUGGGAAAGGAAGCCGUUUUUUAAAAGGUGUUGCAAAGGAGGGCGACUGUUUUAAAAAACUUAAAACCCAUGCGGGAGGGAGCAAAAAAAGGAUAUGACUCUCGGGAAAGCCCCUCCCCCUCAGCCACUUCUUUCGCUGACACUGAGGGGACUCCAGCCUAACGCUUGGAACCUCUAGAUUCAAUGGUGUAGCACCCAUGGGGCAGUGCGAUGCCCUGGGCGGAGCAACGGCGGAGGCGUGGCCAAGCCGUGGAGGGGGCAUGGCGUUCUGAGGAUGUGGCGGGGCGGUCGGCGCAAUGGGCACAGUUUCUCCUUGCUCCACCUCUGGAGUCUUCAUGAGCCAACCACCAGCAGGAAGAAAAUGGACUUGGUAUUAUCAGACUGUAAUUAGAAGGACUUGGAAUGAAACUUAAACAGGACCUUGAAGUGUUAUGUUAAUUGUUAAUGUUUGACAACUGUUAUAUGUUAAGGAAAAGUAAACCAUUUUGUUUAAAAA